CACCCUAGUCUAUUCACAACUUACAGGUCUAAUCGAUAUAUACUUGGGCAUCAAAUAUACGUAGCAUAAAUGUGACCCAAAGGAAAAUACUCAGAGAAAAACUGGACUAGAGUUUUGAUGUUGGUCGUGAUCAUGGCUGCAACGAGUCCACAGUCCAAAGGAGAUCACGAAAAUUCCCUAAGUAGGCACGAAAAUUCCCUAAGUAGGAAUUCAGAACAUGAGGUUACAGAACAUAGGAACUCUACGGUGGUCUAUAAGGAUCCCCACCAGCCAGUUGAAGACAGGGUUAAGGAUUUGCUUUCAAGGAUGACUUUGGCUGAGAAAAUCGGGCAGAUGACCCAAAUUGAGAGAGCAGUGGCCACCCCUGCAAUUAUAAGGGACCUUGGAAUAGGUAUUUUGCAUAUUUAUACAAGUGCAGGUAGCAUUUUGAAUGGUGCAGGAAGUAGCCCUGGAACCAAGGCAUCUCCUAUAAUGUGGGCUGAUAUGGUUGAUGGUUUCCAGGAUGGAGCUAUGAGCUCCCGUCUUGGGAUUCCUAUGAUUUUUGGAACUGAUGCCGUUCAUGGUCAUAAUAAUGCUUAUGGAGCAACAAUUUUUCCACAUAACAUAGGCCUUGGUGCAACAAGAGAUAAUGAUUUGGUGAAAAGGAUAGGAGCGGCUACUGCUCUUGAAGUCAGGGCUACUGGUAUUCCAUAUGUAUUUGCACCUUGCGUGGCUGUAUGUCGUGAUCCACGAUGGGGAAGGUGCUUUGAAUCUUACAGUGAAGAUACUGAAGUAGUUCUCAAAAUGUCAGAUAUCAUUGAAGGGCUACAGGGUUGUCCUCCUGAAAAACAUCCUAAUGGCUACCCACAUGUAGGUGGACGAAUGAAUGUUGUAGCUUGUGCCAAGCAUUUUGUUGGAGAUGGUGGAACUGAAGGAGGAGUCAAUGAACACAAUACUCUUGCAACCUACCACGACCUUUUCCAGAUUCACAUGCGUCCAUACUUGUACUCCUUGGCAAAGGGCGUAUCAACUAUCAUGGCUUCUUACUCCAGCUGGAAUGGAGUGAAAAUGCAUGGAAACCACUACCUUCUAACUAGGAUUUUGAAAGAUGAGCUUGGAUUCAAAGGAUUUAUCAUUUCAGAUUGGGAAGGAAUAGAUAGCAUCACUUUGCCACCUGGCUCAAACUACUUAUACAGUGUUUCUUCUUCGAUCAAUGCAGGAAUUGACAUGGUGAUGGUCCCUUUCAACUUCGAAACAUACAUUAGUAACCUUACAGAAUUGGUCAAUUCAAGCCAGAUUUCUAUGAGCAGAAUAGACGACGCAGUUAGGAGGAUUCUCAGGGUCAAGUUCAUUGCUGGCUUGUUUGAGCAUCCCAAAACAGACAGAUUAUUGCUGGGCAUGGUUGGAAAUCCUGCUCACAGAGAAAUAGCCAGAGAGGCAGUUCGCAAGUCACUGGUUCUCUUGAAGAAUGGCGACAUGGGUGAGAAACCAUUAUUGCCUUUAAACAGGAAUGCCCAGAAGAUAAUAGUAGCAGGCAGUCAUGCAGACAAUCUAGCAUACCAGUGUGGAGGAUGGACAAUAAACAAGGGAGACAACAGUGGAUCCAUCACCAUAGGAACCACUAUUCUGGAAGCAGUAAAAAAGGCAGUCAGUCCAGUAACUGAAGUGGUGUAUGAAGAAAACCCAGAUUCAAAUUUUUUUGAAGGGAAAGAAUUCUCCUUUGCCAUCGUUGUUGUUGGAGAAACUCCAUAUGCUGAGAACAGGGGUGACAAUUUUGACCUCACAAUUCCUCUGAAUGGAACUGAGGUGAUAAACACUGUAUGCAAUAAGAAUAUCAAAUGUCUUGUAAUAAUGAUAUCAGGAAGGCCUUUGGUGGUGGAACCUUAUUUGAAUAAAAUGGACGCCUUAGUGGCUGCAUGUGGCUUCCGGGCAGUGAAGGGCAAGGUGUGACGGAUGUUAUAUUUGGGGACUAUGAUUUUCAUGGAAGACUGCCAAGGACCUGGUUUAAGAGUGUGGAUCAGCUGCCUAUGAAUUUUGGAGAUGAGCAUUAUGAUCCACUCUUUCCUUUCGGAUUUGGAAUGAGCAUGAAUUUGCAAAGAAAUUCAACUCACUGAAUCCAGCGUUUUUUACCAUAUUCAAAUAUGAAUUGAAGGCAUUUGGCGAUGUAAACUUAUUUGAAUAAAAUUAUUGCCGUUUUAGCUGCAUGGCUUCUUGGCAGUGAAGGGCAGGGUGUGACAGAUUUUAUAUUUGAGGACGCUAUUAUUUUCAUGGGUGAUUGCCAAGGACAUGGUUUUAAGAAUGUGGAUCAGCUGCCUACGAACUUUGGAGACGAGCAUUAUG